CCGCCUUCCGCGUGCUCGAGGAGGAGGCCACGGACGCCACGUGAGGUAAUGAAGGAUGAGGGGUAGCGUUCGUAGGAAGAUGGGUCGACCAUGAGGAGAUCCCAACCAGCUUCACUCACAUGCCUUGUGAACCGCUGGAUCUGGGGGUACUACAACAGUUUGGUGGUGGUGGAGGAGGGCGACGACCAUAAUAUGAGUUGUGAUGAUUCUAAUUGUUCCUUUGCUGGAUCCAAAUUAUACACUAUAAGUAUGUAUUAUGAUGAUUCUGUGUUGUCUUAAAGAAUAAACAUCAUAUGAGUUGUCCCCAAAUGGUAACCAAACUCAGACUCAUUUUUGGAUUGUCUCUGAUUACAUCUUGCAUCAGAUGAGGGCGCUU